rnacentral:sRNA from 1 species
GCCAGGCGUGGUGGCGCAUGCCUGUAAUCCCAGCGGCUCAGAAGGCUUGAGGCAGGAGAAUCAUGAGUUCAAAGCCAGCCUCAGCAAAAGUGAGGCGCUAAGUAACUCAGUGAGACCCUGUCUCUA